AAUAUGAUUGCUGGAUCAUAUGGUAAGAGUACAUUUCAUUUUGUGAGAAAUUGCCAAACUUCUUCCAAAGUGGCUGUACCAUUUUGUCUUCCAACCAGCAAU
rnacentral:pre_miRNA from 3 species